GGAUAAGGAGAAAAUUACACAAAGAUUGAACCAUAACUUUCUCCACAACUAGUAAAUUACACCAAAAAUUUACAUUAAUUUAACAUACCAUCCGACAAACUUUAUUACUAAAACAACAAACUGAAAAGACAAAAAGUCUUCAAGCAACGCAGUAUGGCCAAAACUCUUCCUCCCCUAUUGCACAUUCUGCGCCAACACCAACAAUAUUCUCAUCAUUGCAAUAGUAAUACCCAGAAAAACAGCAGGAUGAAUGUGGUGCAAGAUAUGGCAUGUUGUGGAACGACUGAUUUAGGCUAUUGGCCAAUGAGACUUCUACUUCUUCUUCCUUGUGCACGAAUUCCUCUGCACGGUGCUUGAG
rnacentral:misc_RNA from 1 species